UCUUAUAGAUGAACAAAGGAAGUCGUUUCUUAAAGUGGAAUCUACUCUUGGUGAAGAUGCUGUGAG
rnacentral:pre_miRNA from 1 species